rnacentral:rRNA from 1 species
CGGAAUUACUGGGGCGUAAAGCGCACGCAGGCGGUCUGUCAAGUCGGAUGUGAAAUCCCCGGGCUCAACCUGGGAACUGCAUUCGAAACUGGCAGGCUAGAGUCUUGUAGAGGGGGGUAGAAUUCCAGGUGUAGCGGUGAAAUGCGUAGAGAUCUGGAGGAAUAUCGGUGGCGAAGGCGGCCCCCUGGACAAASACUGACGCUCAGGUGCGAAAGCGUGGGGAGCAAACAGGAUUAGAUACCCUGGUAGUCCACGCCGUAAACGAUGUCGAUUUGGAGGUUGUGCCCUUGAGGCGUGGCUUCCGGAGCUAACGCGUUAAAUCGACCGCCUGGGGAGUACGGCCSCAAGGWUAGAACUCAAAUGAAUUGACGGGGGCCCGCACAAGCGGUGGARCAUGUGGUUUAAUUCGAUGCAACGCGAAGAACCUUACCUGGUCUUGACAUCCACAGAACUUUCCAGAAAUGGAUUGGUGCCUUCGGGAACUGUGAGACAGGGGCUGCAUGGCUGUCGUCAGCUCGUGUUGUGAAAUGUUGGGUUAAGUCCCGCAACGAGCGCAACCCUUAUCCUUUGUUGCCAGCGGUUAGGCCGGGAACUCAAAGGAGACUGCCAGUGAUAAACUGGAGGAAAGUGGGGAUGACGUCAAGUCAUCAUGGCGCUUACGACCAGGGCUACACACGUGCUACAAUGGCAUAUACACAGAGAAGCGACCUCGCGAGAGCAAGCGGACCUCAUAGAGUAUGUCGUAGUCCSGAUUGGAGUCUGCAACUCUACUCCAUGAARUCGGAAUCGCUAGUAAUCGUACAUCACAAUGCUACUGUGAAUACGUUCCCUGGGCUUGUACACACCGCCCUCACACCAUGGGAGUGGGUUGCAUAAGAAUACGUAGCUUAUCUUCUGGAGGCGCUANCACUUUGUGAUCAUGACUGCGUGAUUCGAAAA